GCCGCUGUGGCGGAACUGGCAGACGCACACGACUCAAAAUCGUGCGGGAAACCAUGUGGGUUCGAGUCCCACCAGCGGCACCA
rnacentral:tRNA from 1 species